rnacentral:rRNA from 1 species
UACGUAGGGUGCGAGCGUUGCCCGGAUUUAUUGGGCGUAAAGGGCGCGUAGGCGCUCGGCACGUCCGUUGUGAAAUCGCCCGGCUCAACUGGGCGGGGUCAGCGGAUACGGUCGAGCUUGAGCAAGCUAGGGGGUAAUGGAAUUCCCGGUGUAGUGGUGGAAUGCGUAGAUAUCGGGAGGAACACCUGCGGCGAAGGCGGGUUGCUGGGCUGACACUGACGCUGAACUGCGAAAGCUAGGGGAGCGAACGGG